UCCUCUCCAACUUUCGUCUUCCUCGAGCUGAGACGCCGAGGUACCGCCGCCGCCUUGCAGCACAAUAUCCUGCCCGCCGCUGCAUCGCACCGCCGUCUCCUGGCCGCCGCCGUUUCGUGCACCAUGGAAGGAUUGGGUUGAGGCAGCUCCGUCCAAGUUCCAACCGAUCUGGAUUGCCGCUCACUGCUUCGUUCACCCGUCGUUCCUCAGAUUAGUUCCAGCCGUGUAUUCCUCUGUCCGGCCGACGUGUGUGCCUUCCACGCUCUCACUCUUUCUGCCGAGAUUGGUCCGUAGAAGAAGGGGCGCAAGGCUGCAGAUGCCAAGGGCGUGAGAGCCGCUGUUGCCGCCGCCGGUGGCAAGGAGGAGCAUGCGAUGGGAACGGGCACACCAACGCCGACCGAGCUUCACCCCAUCCAGCCCACCCCUUCUUCGUCGUGCAUGGCGGAACGAGGCCACUUCAUUGAUGGUCUCCAACCCCGGCGAGGCGAGAUCCAGCGGUUGCGACGUCAUCAUCCUGCACCCUCCUAAUGCUGGUCUACGGCGAAGGGGUGCCAUGGCAGCCGACGAGGAUGUAUUACCGAGGUACUUGGCCCGAUGUCCUUAUCCCGUCCGCCUUGGAGAACGGCACCAUCUCCUUCUCCUCGCUUCUAGCUGCACCUCUCCAUAUGAGUUUCAUUGGUCUUUCUUAUGGUUAUGUAUUUCAAAGGCUUCCAUGUUGUGCUUCCAGUGAGAUCAAAGAAUGCUCUUGGGAAGAGAAGCUAAUAUCCAGUAAAGUUGUUCUACACUUCGACCAUACCCACCAUUCUCCACUCUGCACUGAUUACAAACAUGUAUUUCAUUUCCCAGCUUCUACACAGGAAGUACAGUGGAAAUUUUAUGGUUAACCUUCUCGGCAUAUGGAAAUAAUAGGACUGUUCUGGUCAUUCUGUUACUACUGGUGGUCUUAUUUACGAUGUGACUGCACCAUCCAGGUUCUUCACCAGUUACAGAUUAUUGCAGUGAGUAUAUUCACUAAUUGGCAACAUAUAGAGAAAAGCAUCUGCACGUGGCAGGGUGUCGACUUGUUGCAGAUAACCACCUGGAGUUCAUCACUAAGAAUGUAUCGCCUCUACCUGGAGUUCAGCAUUCAAAACCGGGUUGCCUAAAAUUUAGUACAACCUCAUGCCCAAGUUUAAUAUGCACAUAUGUUUUUAUACUUUGCUCUAAUAUGUUAUACCCUUUCAAAGAAUUAUUAUUAUUCCUGCUUUGUCUGCUAAACAAGUAUGAUGGCGGCAUGAUGCUUUACUUGGCUUGAUGAUUUAUUUUUUGCUGACUGUUUUGUCUGCACUGACUUCUGUAUACGGCUCAUACAUUACAUGCUAAUCUACACAGCAACUUGCUUUAGAGAGUUUUUAAUGAAUGAUGGAAGAGGUACCAAAUGAAUUCUAAAGCAUUGCUUAAAGGAUCCAUAUAGUUAAGCUUUGGGUUAGUUUUUUUAUUAGGAUCACUCUAGGAACUUUUCCCUCUGUACCGUGUUGUUGCCGCUACAGGUCAGCAAGACGGUCGGUGUCGAUGAUGAAGAGCGCUUGUUUUGGCUGAUUAUGGAAUCAUUUGGACACAUAUAGAGUAUUACCGCCUUUAGCUUGCAAGGUAUGUUACCAUCGCAUGCCCCAUCCGCUUAGCUAACUUUUUGUGUUGAACUAGGAAUUUGGGAUAGAUAGCCAAGAAGGACAUGAACCUCUUACAAGACCUCUGAUUGGUGGAUUCUAUUGUUGUCCCUGUCUUGCAUCAUUCAAAGAAAAGUCCAUCCAUUUUUACCGUUGUUUGCAUGGAAAUGUUAAUAUAUAACAUGGCAAUAUGUAAAGUGGAACAAUUUAUCAGUCCUCGGAAUGCCAGAUUUGACUCCAACUCCAUUAACUAUGUAGGCUGCAGAAGCUUUUCAAGCUUCGAUUAUUAGGAGAACAGUACGUUAGGUGUCAAUCAUACAAAAUACUGGUCUAACCUCAUUAACGAUACUUUGGAAAAUACAAUUUCUUGCAUUUAUCAGUACAAAGCUCAGAUAAUAUUGUCUAAUAUUCUAAUCCCUCUGUUCAGAUAACUAGCAAUCAAAGUAACACUAUUGUUGUAUUUACUCCCUUGCUUACACAUAAGAGCCAUAUUCUAACUGUAUGCCAUGUGAUACUUUGAUUACCUGCGCCCAAAAGCAAGGCCAGUGCCCAAUAUGGCUCGAUGUGUGGACCAAUGAAUAGCACAGAAGCAAGGCUAGCGCCCAGCCUUUGUGCGCCACCUGAGCCUCUCAAGAUUAACCUUACUCUAAGCACACUUACUGUAAGCACUUCAUUUAAUAUACCAAAAUGCACACUUAUUGUUAGCCAGAUCAUUUUAGCAUCUAUAAAUUUAAUCAAUAUUAACUCCCAAAAUUUUAGUGUGAUGCUUGUAUGUUCAUAGAGAGCCAUCGACAUAUGGUUUAGUGUCAGUAUUAAAUACGACAUUACUGUUGGUAGAUGAAAAAAUUAUGCGUGGUUUCCAGUUUAUAAUGAUCUUUAUUGUUAUAUUCAUUAACUGCUAGCAUUUUGGUAUAUUUGCUAUGCUGGCAUCUACUUACGGGAAAGACAUUGUCUUAAUGUUUUGAGGAAGCCAUAUCUAACUUAUAGCAUUAUGGCUGGCUGGUUGCUUUUUAAUACCUAUUUUGACCUACUAAUUAUCGAAUUGUUGAUAAAGAAAUCUUUCAUUUAUACAGCUAUACUUAUCUCUUCAUGCUACAAAAACGAAAGAAAUAUGGCUUUUCCUUAUCUGAGUAUAUAUGGAUUAACUGGGAAUCUUGUUUUUCUUUGCAUAGACUUAUGUGUAGCAGCAAUGUGUUAUUUCUAUACAUAAUGAUUGUUGCCUUUGGACACAAUCACACAAGUGACUCUCCUCUUUUUAUCUCAUUUUUUUGUAUUCAGAUGUAUUAAAAAAAUUACUCCCAUUUCGAUGUUCUUUGUUAAAUAUUUGAUAGAAAAGAGUUCCAGUAGUCAACUGGAUGGACAUGCAUAUUUUUUGAUUGUUGAAGAACAUGCAUCUAUCUUUACAGAGCUGUAUAGAUUUCAUUACUUGUCAGAAGAUCCCUCUGAUCAUGUUGUUGAUUUCUUUUCUUAGGGAAUCAUGUUGUUGAUUUAUGUUGCAGGUAUCAGUCUCAUUUUCAUACAACGAGGAUAAUCUGCAAGCCAGCUUAAUUCAGAGUUCAGGCUGAUCCUGAUUUCUUUUUCAUAUGUGCAUCUUUGGUCUAUGUAAACUUGUAAACCAUGAGUGGUAGCUUAGUUUAGGUUUGGUCCACCUUUCUAUAGGUUUUUUUUUUCAUGUAAGUAAACAAUUAGGUCGCCAUUUGGUAUUUCAUUGGAUGCAAACCUGAAUGCAA